CUGGCUAUUAAAAUCUAAUGGUGUCAUGAGCAUGCUUACCUAUCAUUCCAGGUACAGAGUCAUCCUUUGUCCCCAGGAAGAGGCCUUCUGUCCCCAGUCCUAUCCUCUAAAAGCUCCAGCUUUUCGUUUCUGUCCUAACUUUCCUGGGGUUGAGUCUCCACCCAGGGCCAACUAGGGGAGAAGGCUGCGCAGAACUCACACUCCUUGCAGACCAGGUCCUUCAGCCCCUGCCCACGAAUGUUGGGUGAGGGGCUUGUUCGGCAUGACCCCUUCAAGGCCAGAUCUGUAGAGAGCAGCCUGAAGACCCUGGAAGUCUCUGGAUCCUCUGCUGGAGGAGUCCUCACUUCAGCUAGAGCUGGAGGAGUCUCUCGAGGAGGGGUCACCACCAACGGUACCCAGCAAACAGAGCCAUGGUGCGGGGAUGAAGCAAAGAGACCACCACGCACACCUCCAAGGUCUCAGUGACUCAGUAGGAAUUGGGGCAGCACUCAGAAUCUAGGGCCAGGCCCCUGGGGAAUGUGAGAGUCGAGGUCCUUGAAUAUUUCAUCAGCACUUCAGCUCCGGUUGAAGCAGCAGCCAACUUACCGCUCAUGGAUAAUUUAUGAUCCCAACAGAGAAACUGGAAGUAGUGGGGGGGGGGGGCAGGGGGGGGGGGGGGGGAGGCAGGGCCAAGCUGUAGAUAAGAGUGAAGGAGAGAAGCCAGCUGGAUGGGAGUGUGUGAGAGGUCUGGGAGCAGGAGCUCCCAACACCAUGAGACUCUUCCAUGUUUGAGGAUACCAAGGCAUUAAAAAUCAAUAAACAGCACAGUGAUGGAGAUGCUACA
rnacentral:lncRNA from 1 species